UGAAACAUUGUGUUGAUUGGAUCUUAUAGGCUGAUUCUGAUGUUCUAACACCUUUUCUUUUUUUGAGACAUCUCCUUUUGGUAAUAGAACAAAUCAGGCUGAAGCUGUAAGAAGCGUCAUUUCAUAUGCGAUUUGAACGUGCAGAAGUGUUGCAUAUAUUUACGACAGCAAGUUUCCUUUCAGCAUUUCUCUGAAUUCUGAUGCUAGGUCUCAUCAUUUGACCAAGGAGGCAGUCCCCAGCAUACCCUGAUCCUCUGCUACCUGCUGGACCUGUUGCUUCAAAUCAAUCUCUCACAAUUCUCAGAUGCUGCUUCAUUUUGGGCCUCUGAGUAAUUUUCUUGCUCAUCUUCAAAUGUGGGGAGAAACUAAUGAAGUCAAAUCAAUUGAUUAAUGUUUUCUGAAGAAAUCCUCCUGCCUUCACCUCUGCCAACUGAGCCUCCAGCUCUUACCAGAGGAACAGUUACUUGCUGACACAUCCUGAGAAUAACUUCUAUUGGAUUUAUCACGUAGUUGUUGAUUAUGUAGUAAUGCUCAAAAAACUGGCAACCUCCUAAGCUUAUGAGACACAUAAUUAAACAUUACAAACAAGGUAUUUCUCCUCCCUCUUUACAUAUUAUACAUGGCAUAUCCACCUGAGACUGCAUCUCAAAAGACAGGCAGAGCAGAUGGGAGACACUUUACUUCUCAUCAGCUUCAAAGGGUGAGGAAAAAUAAAUAAAUAAAAAAGAAAACCGGGAAAGAAAAACUGCCCAUGUUACAUCAACAACAGGUAUGAACUUGAUUUCUGGAACAAGAGAAUCUUUCCGCUUGUUAAAGGUUGUGCAACUAGUUCUUUUGGAUGGGGUGUUCAUCACUUUCAGGGCGGCUUUACAGUCCACAGUCACGAAAGACUCCAACUCAGUUGCUCUAAGCCGUGCAAUCAGUCCUUCUAGAAAGUAAUAGUUCCCUUCUCCCGCUUUUUCUUUUAAAAGAAUGAAAGGAAAAAGAAGAAAAACCAAACCACCCAAAUCUGCAUUUUUUCCUCUGGCUGGCAGAUUUCCAAGAUAAAGAGGACUGCUCUCCGGCUGGAACAGCAGCCGGGGCCUGCUCUCCAAACUCACAAAAGAGAACACCACACACAGAGAAAAAGCGACGGGUCUGACCGGCCAGAAACGUCUUCUCACCCUCUGAGACAGCUUCUCCAAUAGAGAAAGAAACCCCAUUCACCCGCGGCAGCCCCACGCCCCGGCCCCACAGCCAGCCCCGCCGCGCUGUUCCCACGCACCGCCGGGACGGGCGGGCAGCGCCGGCAGGCUCGGGACGGGACGGCGGCUCCUUCGCGCCGGGUCGGACAGGGAUAAAUCGCUCCUCAUUCUGGUCACUGGGGAACCAGAACCCACACGAAGUUUCCCUUCCUUUCAGUCACCCCUUCCCAGGUGUAUACUUCUCUCCAUUAUUACUAUGACUGUUUUUGAAUAGGACAAGCAGAGGUGCCCGUGUCAGAGCGCCAGCGGGUUACGGGAGCGGUGCUUCCUCGGGAGCCCCGCGGCUUUUCCCGGCGGUGCAGGGGAGAAGGGAGCGGCUGUGCCGGGCUGAGCCGGGGAGCGCUCUCCGGGGAGCGACGGGGCAACGUGGGAAGGGGGGAAGAAUGAAAAAGAAACGCUAAAGGAGAGAAGCACGACCGAUGACAUGUGCCAAGGCUUAUUCCCUUUUAUUUCCUCCACCCCCACAAAAGAAAAUAAGCCAAGAAUCAGGAAGUCAGGGCUGCGUGAUCGCUGCUAUAGGCAACUUUCUCUGGAGAGUGGGAGGAAGCACUGUCUUGUCACCCGGCAUAAACAUGAUGACCUAUAAAGUGAAGAUCAUGUAAUCUGGUAGUUCUUCCACAUGAAGAUACUUCUGGAUUGCAAAAUUUGACUGCAGUUGCUCACCACCACUUGCCUGCACCACUGAGCUGGUUACUUUGUCACACACACAUGGGGAGAGUGUUUACAGAAUCACAGAAUAUGCUGAGUUGGAAGGAACUAAUCAAGAUCAUCGAGUCCAAGUCCUGCCUUUCACAGGACCCCCCAAGAGUCACACCAUGUGCCUGAGAAGUGUCAAACACUUUUUGAACUCUGUUAGGCUUGAUGCCAUGACCAUUUCCCUGGGGAGUCUGUUCCAAUGCCCAACCACCCUCUGGGGGAAGAACUUUUUCCCGAUAUCCAUCCCAAACCUCCCCUGACACAGCUCUAAGCCAGUCCUUCAAGUCCUGUCACUGGUCAUCACAGAGAAGAGAUCAGUGUCUGCCCUUCUUCUUCUGUUCAUGAGGAAGUUUUAUCCCCUCAGGCUGAACAGACCAAAUGACCUCAGCCACUCCUCAUACAGCUUCCCCUCAAGGUCUUUUACCAUCUUUGUUGUCCCCUUUGGAUUCUCUCUAGUAUCUUUGUAUCUUUCUUAAAUUGUGGCACCCAAAAGUGCCUCGUGCACUAGAGGUGAGGUGGUCCCAGUGCAGAAUGGACAAUCCCCUCCCUUGCCCAGCUGUGGUGCUGUACCCGGUGCCCCCCAGGACACACUUGGCUCUCCUGGCUGCCAGGGCACUGCUGAUCCACAUUCAGUUUGCCAUCAGCCAGGACCCCCAGAUGCCUUUCCAAUGGCACUGCCUUUCAGCAUCUCAUUCACCAACCUGUCCAUACAUUCCAGGGUGCCUAAUCCCAGGGGCAGAAUUCAGCUGUUUGUUUGUUUGUAUAACACCACUUAAAAGGGACAACACCAACAAACACAUGACUGUUGAAAUUAAACCUUAAUUAUAAUAAAUUCCACCGUCAGUAUUUCAACACAUGGCCAAGGUGUUAUCUCAGGAGGGUUCCUACAUGGCCUUUUUUCUUUUUUUUAUAUCCGUGUAAGAUUUAUCUAUCAUCUCAGUUGCCAAGUUCACUGUGGCAUUUUUCAGUGAAAUUCUCUUAAAUCAGGAACAAACUUUUAAAAUUAUUUAAACUCUGUUAGGGAUUCACAGCGCUAGCUUAUACAUUAAUGAAUGUAGGAAACAAAAAAAAAAUCAGUUUAAAAAUAAAAGCUGUGUGGCUGUAGUGCUUUUUAGCACACAAAGAUUUACUGCAUCCAUUGCAUGGGAGAAAGUGUGAGCCAUCUAUUUUCUGAAUUAUGGCUUCUCUUUGAAAAGACACCCAAUUUUUGUCCAGUAUAAAGCAGGGGAAAGAAAUUUGCUUUUGUGCAUUUUGAUUAAAAUCUAAAGUAAUUACAAGAGGAAAAAAAGGUAUGGCAAAUUCUUUCAGUAUUGGAGAUAAAUACAGCAAUUGAUAAGAUAAACUGAACAGGGUUAUCAGGGUCUCAUAGGAAUAGCUACACUGUAUUGACAAAAGUGUUCAGAUUUACACACUGUAUAGUUGUUCUCUCGCAAAAUCUCUGCUGAACUCCUGGGGAAUGUGGCACCUCCAUUGCCAUCUAGAAGAUAGUUUCAAGGGGUAGAAUGCACUUCCUGCUUGAAAGUAAUUUUGUUGUUUGUAACUUCACAUAGAGACUAUUGUGGUUUUUCACAAACUUUAACAAGUACCAAUACCAGGCAUUUCUUUCCUGAGUAAGUUUUACAGUCCGUGAGGGUGAGGAUAUAAGGACUGACACUAUGAUGGAAUGAGGUAUAUUAUAUACAAAAUCUUUGUUACUAAACAGUACAAGUUUCCUACAUAAGAACAAGCUCCUGCCUUAUUUCUGUACUUUGUUGAGGUGACUUACACCCUGACAGUUGUAUGGUACACAUAUUCCUUCAUUCAACCAGAAAUCAUAUAACUCUGUAUGACUGCAGCAAGUACAGUCUGAGCAUGCUGCCAAUUAAUGACAUGUCAGUGGAGGCAGAGUGAACACAGAAUCACAGAAUGGGGCAGAUUGGAAGGGACCACAGUAGGUCACUUUGUCCAGCCACUCUGCUCAAGCAGGGUCAUCUAGAGCAAAUGACACAGUAUCGCAUCUACAUUGUUCUUGAAUAUUUCCUGUGAGAGAGACUCCACAGCCUCUCUGGGCAGUGUAUUGUGGCCAAUCUGGUCAUCUGCACAGUAAAGAAGUUCUUCCUCAUAUGUAUAUGGAGUUUCCUGUGCAUCAGUUUCUGCCUGUUGCUUCUUGUCCUAUUGCUCAGCACCACUGAGAAAAGCCUGGAUUCAUCCAUUUGACAUCCCCCCUUCAGACACAUACAUGCAUUCAUAUGGUCCCCUCUCAUGGACAUGGCUCAUGGACAGCUUGUUGUCCAUUGGGAU